UACGUAGGAUGCAAGCGUUGUCCGGAUUUACUGGGCGUAAAGAGUGUCGUAGGCGGUGAUUUAAGUGGCGGGUUAAAGACCACGGCUCAACCGGGGGAAUGCUCGUCAAACUGGAUCACUAGAGUUAGUUUGGGGAUAUUGGAAUUCUUGGUGGAGGGGUGAAAUCCGUUGAUAUCAAGAAGAACGCCAUUGGUGAAGACAAAUAUCUAAAACUUAACUGACGCUGAUGAACGAAAGCUAGGGGAGCGAA
rnacentral:rRNA from 1 species